CCUACGGGAGGCAGCAGUGGGGGAUAUUGCACAAUGGGGGAAACCCUGAUGCAGCGACGCCGCGUGGGUGAAGAAGCGCCUCGGCGCGUAAAGCCCUGUCAGCAGGGAAGAAAAUGACGGUACCUGAAGAAGAAGCCCCGGCGAACUACGUGCCAGCAGCCGCGGUAAUACGUAGGGGGCAAGCGUUAUCCGGAUUUACUGGGUGUAAAGGGGGCGCAGACGGCGAUGCAAGCCAGGCGUGAAAGCCCGGGGCCCAACCCCGGGACUGCUCUUGGAACUGCGUGGCGAGAGUGCAGGAGGGGCAGGCGGAAUUCCUGGUGUAGCGGUGAAAUGCGUAGAUAUCAGGAGGAACACCGGUGGCGAAGGCGGCCUGCUGGACUGCAACUGACGUUGAGGCCCGAAAGCGUGGGGAGCAAACAGGAUUAGAUACCCUAGUAGUC
rnacentral:rRNA from 1 species